UAAUACGUAGGGUCCGAGCGUUGUCCGGAAUUAUUGGGCGUAAAGAGCUCGUAGGCGGUUUGUCGCGUCUGCUGUGAAAACUAGAGGCUCAACCUCUAGCCUGCAGUGGGUACGGGCAGACUUGAGUGGUGUAGGGGAGACUGGAAUUCCUGGUGUAGCGGUGGAAUGCGCAGAUAUCAGGAGGAACACCGAUGGCGAAGGCAGGUCUCUGGGCACUUACUGACGCUGAGGAGCGAAAGCGUGGGGAGCGAACAGGAUUAGAUACCCUGGUAGUCCACGCCGUAAACGUUGGGCGCUAGAUGUGGGGACCUUUCCACGGUUUCCGUGUCGUAGCUAACGCAUUAAGCGCCCCGCCUGGGGAGUACGGCCGCAAGGCUAAAACUCAAAUGAAUUGACGG
rnacentral:rRNA from 1 species